AGAGUUUGAUCCUGGCUCAGAUUGAACGCUGGCGGCAUGCUUUACACAUGCAAGUCGAACGGCAGCAUGGGCUUCGGCCUGAUGGCGAGUGGCGAACGGGUGAGUAACACAUCGGAACGUACCUGAUAGUGGGGGAUAACGCUUCGAAAGGAGUGCUAAUACCGCAUAAGCCCCGAGGGGGAAAGUGGGGGACCAGUAAUGGCCUCACGCUAACAGAGCGGCUGAUGGCUGAUUAGCUAGUUGGUGAGGUAAAGGCUCACCAAGGCGACGAUCAGUAGCGGGUCUUAGAGGACGAUCCGCCACACUGGAACUGAGACACGGUCCAGACUCCUACGGGAGGCAGCAGUGGGGAAUCUUGGACAAUGGGCGCAAGCCUGAUCCAGCAAUGCCGCGUGGGUGAAGAAAUCCCUCGGGUUGUAAAGCCCUUUUGUUUGGGAGCAAAGCUUACUCAUUAAUACUGGGUGAGGAUGAGAGUACCAAAAGAAUCAGCACCGGCUAACUACGUGCCAGCAGCCGCGGUAAUACGUAGGGUGCGAGCGUUAAUCGGAAUUACUGGGCGUAAAGCGUGCGCAGGCGGUUGUGUAAGUCAGAUGUGAAAUCCCCGGGCUCAACCUGGGAACUGCAUUUGAGACUGCACGGCUAGAGUGUGGCAGAGGGGGGUGGAAUUCCACGUGUAGCAGUGAAAUGCGUAGAGAUGUGGAGGAACACCGAUGGCGAAGGCAGCCCCCUGGGCCAAUACUGACGCUCAUGCACGAAAGCGUGGGGAGCAAACAGGAUUAGAUACCCUGGUAGUCG
rnacentral:rRNA from 1 species